CAGCAGCCGCGGGAAUACGAAGGGUGCAAGCGUUACUCGGAAUUACUGGGCGUAAAGCGUGCGUAGGUGGUGGUUUAAGUCCGUUGUGAAAGCCCUGGGCUCAACCUGGGAAUUGCAGUGGAUACUGGGUCACUAGAGUGUGGUAGAGGAUAGUGGAAUUUCCGGUGUAGCAGUGAAAUGCGUAGAGAUCGGAAGGAACAUCUGUGGCGAAGGCGACUAUCUGGGCCAACACUGACACUGAGGCACGAAAGCGUGGGGAGCAAACAGGAUUAGAUACCCGUGUAGUCCCUGUCUCUUAUAA
rnacentral:rRNA from 1 species